rnacentral:lncRNA from 1 species
GAUAAACAAUCUCCGAAACCCAUUUUAGAGCAAAUACCGGGAAAAAAAAGUUAUAAAAAACAAAGGGAUGAAAAGAAAACAAAAAUGGAAAAAAGGAAGAAAAUGAUUAAAUGAAACAAUUUUUUGGUUUUUUUUAUAGAAAAUCUUCAAAAACAACAUAUCUCAAACCUUACCAUGAACGAUAGGAUGUUGGCCACUUUCC